rnacentral:rRNA from 1 species
GUCUCAAAGAUUAAGCCAUGCAUGUCUAAGUAUAAGCAAUUACAAAGCGAAACUGCGAAUGGCUCAUUAUAUAAGUUAUCGUUUAUUUGAUAGUACCUUACUACAUGGAUAACCGUGGUAAUUCUAGAGCUAAUACAUGCUGCAAAUCCCGACUUCGGAAGGGAUGUAUUUAUUAGAUACAAAACCAAUGCCCUUCGGGGCUCUCUUGGUGAUUCAUGAUAACUUCUCGAAUCGCACGGCCCCGCGCCGGCGAUGGUUCAUUCAAAUUUCUUCCCUAUCAACUUUCGAUGCUACGGUAGUGUCCUAGCAUGGUUGCAACGGGUGACGGAGGGUUAGGGCUCGACCCCGGAGAAGGAGCCUGAGAAACGGCUACUACAUCCAAGGAAGGCAGCAGGCGCGCAAAUUACCCAAUCCCGACACGGGGAGGUAGUGACGAUAAAUACCGAUACAGGGCUCUUUUGGGUCCUGUAAUUGGAAUGAGUACAAUUCAAAUCCCUUAACGAGGAACAAUUGGAGGGCAAGUCUGGUG